rnacentral:rRNA from 1 species
CUACGGGCGGCAGCAGUGAGGAAUAUUGCACAAUGGGGGGAACCCUGAUGCAGCAACGCCGCGUGGAGGAUGACGCAUUUCGGUGUGUAAACUCCUUUUAUAUGUCAAGAAAAUGACGGUAGCAUAUGAAUAAGCACCGGCUAACUCCGUGCCAGCAGCCGCGGUAAUACGGAGGGGGCAAGCGUUACUCGGAAUCACUGGGCGUAAAGGACGCGUAGGCGGGUUGGAAAGUCAGGUGUGAAAUCCUACAGCUUAACUGUAGAACUGCAAUUGAAACUUCUAAUCUAGAGUAUGGGAGGGGAAAGUGGAAUUAGUGGUGUAGGGGUAAAAUCCGUAGAUAUCACUAGGAAUACCUAAAGCGAAGGCGAUCUCCUGGAACAUUACUGACGCUAAGGCGUGAAAGCGUGGGGAGCAAACAGGAUUAGAUACCCCCGUAGUC